AUUGAACGCUGGCGGCAUGCCUUACACAUGCAAGUCGAACGGGAACAGGCCGCAAGGUGCUGACGAGUGGCGAACGGGUGAGUAAUGCAUCGGAACGUGCCCAGUAGUGGGGGAUAGCCCGGCGAAAGCCGGAUUAAUACCGCAUACGACCUGAGGGUGAAAGGGGGGGAUCGCAAGACCUCUCGCUAUUGGAGCGGCCGAUGUCAGAUUAGCUAGUUGGUGGGGUAAAGGCCUACCAAGGCAACGAUCUGUAGUUGGUCUGAGAGGACGACCAGCCACACUGGGACUGAGACACGGCCCAGACUCCUACGGGAGGCAGCAGUGGGGAAUUUUGGACAAUGGGCGCAAGCCUGAUCCAGCAAUGCCGCGUGCAGGAAGAAGGCCUUCGGGUUGUAAACUGCUUUUGUCAGGGAAGAAAUCUUCUGGGUUAAUACCUCGGGAGGAUGACGGUACCUGAAGAAUAAGCACCGGCUAACUACGUGCCAGCAGCCGCCGUAACAC
rnacentral:rRNA from 1 species